rnacentral:rRNA from 1 species
GCUUACGGCCAUACUACCCUGAAUGCUCCCGAUCUCGUCUCAUUUCUGAAGCUAAUCAGGGUCAGGCCUGGUUAGUUUGGAUGGGAGACCGCUGGGAAUACCAGGUGCUGUAAGCU